GCAUACGUGGGGUGGAUGAGUGUGCAUAUCAACACAAAGUCCAAUACCACCCGAACCCCACGGUGUAAAUGUGGCAGAUGUAUGAGAGGAAAGGUACCGUU
rfam:Natranaerobius trueperi strain DSM 18760 ZB100110, whole genome shotgun sequence.